rnacentral:rRNA from 1 species
UGAGGAAUAUUGGUCAAUGGACGAGAGUCUGAACCAGCCAAGUAGCGUGAAGGAUGACUGCCCUAUGGGUUGUAAACUUCUUUUAUACGGGAAUAAAGUGAGGCACGUGUGUCUUUUUGUAUGUACCGUAUGAAUAAGGAUCGGCUAACUCCGUGCCAGCAGCCGCGGUAAUACGGAGGAUCCGAGCGUUAUCCGGAUUUAUUGAGUUUAAAGGGAGCGUAGGCGGACGCUUAAGUCAGUUGUGAAAGUUUGCGGCUCAACCGUAAAAUUGCAGUUGAUACUGGGUGUCUUGAGUACAGUAGAGGCAGGCGGAAUUCGUGGUGUAGCGGUGAAAUGCUUAGAUAUCACGAAGAACUCCGAUUGCGAAGGCAGCUUGCUGGACUGUAACUGACGCUGAUGCUCGAAAGUGUGGGUAUCAAACAGGAUUAGAUACCCUGGUAGUUCACACAGUAAACGAUGAAUACUCGCUGUUUGCGAUAUACAGUAAGCGGCCAAGCGAAAGCGUUAAGUAUUCCACCUGGGGAGUACGCCGGCAACGGUGAAACUCAAAGGAAUUGACGGGGGCCCGCACAAGCGGAGGAACAUGUGGUUUAAUUCGAUGAUACGCGAGGAACCUUACCCGGGCUUGAAUUGCAACUGAAUGAUGUGGAGACAUGUCAGCCGCAAGGCAGUUGUGAAGGUGCUGCAUGGUUGUCGUCAGCUCGUGCCGUGAGGUGUCGGCUUAAGUGCCAUAACGAGCGCAACCCUUAUCGAUAGUUACCAUCAGGUUAUGCUGGGGACUCUGUCGAGACUGCCGUCGUAAGAUGUGAGGAAGGUGGGGAUGACGUCAAAUCAGCACGGCCCUUACGUCCGGGGCUACACACGUGUUACAAUGGGGGGUACAGAAGGCAGCUACACGGCGACGUGAUGCUAAUCCCGAAAGCCUCUCUCAGUUCGGAUUGGAGUCUGCAACCCGACUCCAUGAAGCUGGAUUCGCUAGUAAUCGCGCAUCAGCCACGGCGCGGUGAAUACGUUCCC